rnacentral:rRNA from 1 species
UACGAGGGGGGCAAGCGUUGUUCGGAAUUAUUGGGCGUAAAGGGCGCGUAGGCGGUGUCGCAAGUCCGUGGUGAAAUCUCUAGGCUCAACUUAGAGACUGCCGCGGAAACUGCGGUGCUUGAGUGUAGGAGAGGGAAGUGGAAUUUCCGGUGUAGUGGUGAAAUACGUAGAUAUCGGAAGGAACACCAGUGGCGAAGGCGACUCUUUGGCCUGUAACUGACGCUGAGGCGCGAAAGCGUGGGGAGCAAACAGG